rnacentral:rRNA from 1 species
UACGUAGGGUGCAAGCGUUAAUCGGAAUUACUGGGCGUAAAGCGUGCGCAGGCGGCUUUGCAAGACAGAUGUGAAAUCCCCCGGGCUUAACCUGGGAACUGCAUUUGUGACUGCAUGGCUGGAGUGCGGCAGAGGGGGAUGGAAUUCCGCGUGUAGCAGUGAAAUGCGUAGAUAUGCGGAGGAACACCGACGCGAAGCAAUCCCUGGGCCUCGCGACUCGAGCUCAUGCACGAAAGCGUGGGGAGCAAACAGG